GUCUAAUUCGUCUAGCGGUUAGGACGCCACGUUGUGGCCGUGGUAACCCCGGUUCGAUUCCGGGAUUGGACA
rnacentral:tRNA from 1 species